UAUCUCUGUAGAGUCUGCAUAUCAAUAAGCGGAGGAAAAGAAACUAACUAGGAUUCCCUCAGUAACGGCGAGUGAAGCGGGAAGAGCUCAAAUUUGAAAUCUUCAAGGUUCUACCUUGACGAAUUGUAGUUUAAAGAAGUGUUUUCUGUUGGAGUUUUGGUAAAAGUUCUUUGGAAUAGGACAUCAUAGAGGGUGAGAAUCCCGUAUUUGACCAUUACUUUCCAGCUUUGUGAUACACUUUCAAAGAGUCGGAUUGUUUGGGAAUGCAGUCCAAAAUGGGUGGUAAAUUUCAUCUAAAGCUAAAUAUUGGCGAGAGACCGAUAGCGAACAAGUACCGUGAGGGAAAUGAUGAAAAGAACUUUGAAAAGAGAGUUAAACAGUACGUGAAAUUGUCAAAAGGGAAGCGUUUGACACCAGUGUUGUUUUCUCGAAAAUCAAUUAAAAAAGGCAGGAUUUUGUGUUGUAUUGACUUUAUCAGCUUUCUGCACUCUUUUCUUGUCUUUUUUAAUGCACUUUUCGUUUAACAAGUCAACAUCAAUUUCUUUUGUUGUAAAAGGGUCAUUGGAAGGUGGCUUUCUUUUCGGAGAAAGUGUUUAUAGCCUUUGGCCUCUGCAAUCGGAGAGAUUGAGGUCUGCAGCGUAGAUCCUUCGGGGUUAGAUACAUUUGUGCUAAGUUAUAGCCUUUCAUAGACAACUUGUUGACUAUGAUCAGUCAUGUAGCUUACUCGCUUAUGCUAUUUUACCUACGCUUAGGAUGUUGACGAUCAGCUGAGCGCG
rnacentral:rRNA from 1 species